rnacentral:sRNA from 1 species
CGCAGGCAACGGCCCGAAGGGCGAAGCGCGCAGCGCUGAGUAAUCUCUCCCCCACCACCA